ACACCCAGGUCGUCAGAGCCAAGAUGUUCUGCAAGUCACCGGUUUACCCAGCUGAGCUGUGUGGACAGGAAGUUCGUCCUAGGGUAGUCGCGUGCCUCAUCCUUGCUGACCAAAAGGCUGAAGGGACAAGGUGGGCAUUGGGGGGAGGGGCCCCAGCUGGAUCCAUGGGAGAGAGAAGAGAAUUGCUGCCAAGUUGUAGAGGACCUGAAGGUCUUGCACGGCCUGGGGCGGGCAGGGCCAGUGCUGUUGGCUGGAGCUUAUCUGGGGAUGGCAAAGGAAGAGCUUUGGAGGAGGAGAAGCCAUGUGGGGCUCAUUUGAUAAACAUCUACAGAUGUAUCCUGGGAUCCAGGCCCUGGCUCUCGGCUCUGUCUCCCACCCUUCAUGGGCCACUAGAGCAUUUCCUUUUGGACUAUUUGCAGUGGACUUGGCAGCCAGGCCUCCCCUGAGCCACAGGGCACAGGGACCCUCACUCUUAGCCUGUGGGAGUGCCUGAUAUUCUACACAGGGGCAGCUUCUGGAAAGUGAAAGCUUCUGUGGUCUGAAAGGUCUGGGAGCUGCUGGGGGGUGUGUGGUCUAAGCCAGGGGCUCGGCUCCUUGGACAGCGUUGGAGCCAUUACAACUGCAGCACAGAGCAGUUGAGGCUGGGGAGGGCCUGAUGGUGUCCCCUCCUGCCACCAGCCUGCUCCUCGUUCCCUCCAUAGCUUGCCACUCACCAGAAAUAGAGGCGAACCCUAUUGGACUUUUUCAAGUCCCAUGGCUCUCCAGGGAACAAUCGGAACCAUGUCCUGCACUGUGCUGCCCCCUGCCCCAUGUGUAUCUUCCAUGGCACUGGGGACUCAGAGCUUCAGAACAGCUAAUCUUCUGUGAGCCAGGGCUCUGGAAUCAGGCUGUGAAGAAGAACCUCCUAGCUUUGCCUCUUCUGGUCACCUUAUCUUGGUCUUCAGCUCUCUCUGCCUUGGUUUCCUUCUGAUAGGCUGAGAGUUGCUAUUUCGUAAGGUGUUCAUGGGCAUCAGAGGAGAGAGCUACCGUAUUCAAAGCCCAUGGACAAGGCAUUUGGUAAGCACUAGGUUUUGUUCGAUGUCAUGGUAACAGUGCCCUUUCUGUGCGAGAAUACAUUAAUAAUAGCAACAGCACAGGCGCUAAUAGCCAAUACCUACCCAGAGCUUGCUUUGUGUCCUGUUUCUCUCUGUGCCCAGAAAGCCUCCUUGGCCCUCACUCCUUGGCCUGGUUAAUUCCUCCUCAUCGUUCUAUUCCUGCUCUAGUGUUGCCUCCGAGGCUGGAGGGCUUGUCUUCUGUGUCCCUAACAUCCCUUACUUAAUUUUAGUGCGGCUCUUCCACCCUGGACUGUUGCUGUUUUCUUUUUCUUCUCUGGAAGUUCCUGAGGUUGGGGAUUGGGCUUUUAUUAUCUGAGUUUGCUGAGGGAAUAAGGAUGUUUUCUAGCCCUGGCCUCAAAGACCAUCUCUAUCCUUACUUCUCCUUCCCAGAAGGAGCUCCAUCAGCUACAGUGAAGACCAGCCAGCGGCUAGAGGGGUCUCUGAAUCCAGAAUCCACAUGCUUCCUGCUCAAGGUCACAGUGCUCUGAGCAGCUGGAAGCCUCAUUGACUGACUCCUAAGCUAUGGGGUGGCCUAUGGCUAUCAGUCCCCUGGUACCCUUCACUGGCUCUAAAUUCAUUAGAGCAAGCAAGAAAAGGUGAUCCCCAAUGGAAGCUUCUUGAAAUAAGUGUAUUUCAGAUGUCACUGGCAUUGGCAAGAUGGGGGUGGGGUGUGGGGGGGUGGGGGCAGCUGGGCCUGAUAAAUAAUCAUACUCAUUAGGUCUCAUUAUAUUCUCCCUGUGAGUCAUGGUAUCCCACAAAACAGAGGCCACCCCAGCCUGGCUUUCAGCAGAGCCUAUCUUAAAAAUGCAUUCGAUGCAGAUGGUUACAUUAAUGUAAAAGGCAGGCCAUUGUGGCUAUAAAUAACUCAAGCUGAGUCCUGCUGACAGUGGGACACCUGACAGGAAAUACUGUAUUGUCCUCCCUUCUGAACAAGGCAGUGACAUACACAUUAUCUUCCCAUUUUCGAAGGCAGGGUCCACAGGAGUCCAGCAAGCCCCCUGGGAAGGCAGAUCCUUUACCAUGAGACCCAUGAAAGGGAGCUUUCCAAAGCAGGUGCACCAUACAUAAAAAUAAUGACCCCGUUCCCCAAAGAUGUCCUCACUGGAAUCCUGGAGCCUGGGAACAAAAUAUUCUUUACAUGGCAAAAGGAAUUGUACAGAUGUAAAAUUCUCCCAAGAAGAUCCCAGAUUGUUUGAGUGGCCCCAGUUAAUCUCUAGGUCCUUAUAAAGGAAAGAGAGGGACAGGAGAGUCAGAGACGUGAGGAGGGCAGCAGAGCUUGAAGGGAGGCGAGAUUUGAAGAUGCUGCGCUGCUGACUUUGAAGAUGAGCCAGAAAUGCAGGCUUCCAAUAAAACUGGAAAAGGCGCAUCAGUGUAUCCUCCCCUAAAGCCUGCAGAUGAAACAGCCCUAGAGACACUGCGGCUUUAGAAUUUCUGACCUCCAGAACAGUUGGAUUAUGAGUUUGUGUUGUUUUAAGCCACUCACCAACUUGAGAUAGUUAUAGAAACCAUAGGAAAUUCAUACAGAAGGCGCUUGAUCUAAAGUGAUUCUAAUGAAAACAUUUUUUUCAGACUGUGUACUUUUUGCAUUUCUCCCUUGGUGUCUGGAGCAGGGUGGACAUGGGAGGAGAGGCUUUGGAGGUAAUGAGGGGACGCUUGGUGCUGGCCAACCACUCCCCCAUCUGUGGUGAAGUUGUACAGUUUGGAAACAUUUCCACAACAGUUGUCAUUUUGUUUUUGUUGGGGUGAGAGGGAAUGUUAUUUUUAAACACUUUUCUUUCAUUUAAAAAUGCUUCUGUAGGACUACUGUCCCCCAGCCUCUUCCACCUGCCCCCCUUUGUUGGUUUCUGUCUUGUGAGGCUCUCACUCCCCACUUCUCCCACCUGGGCUGUCAGCCAUUUCCAAAUGUAGGGAGAACAACAUUUCUAAGCUGCAUUGGCAUGAGGUCACGAGGCCGUCUGAUGAAGGUGACUGGCUCUAAGAUAUUGGUUGUCCCUUCACAUCAGGUGAUCUCCCGGAGCAGUGUCACUCAUGUUCCCUACCAACUAAAAUCAGGAUCUUCUUAAAAUGAAGAUUUGAUGCUAGGGAUCUGGGGUGGAAGCUGAGAUUCUGCAUUUCUAACAAGCUUCAGAGGAUCCCCAGAAUGUGGAUUCCGGACCACAUUUUGAGUGGAAAGGACACAGAGGGCUGAGGUUCAUAAUCUAGGCAGGUGGGGAGCUCAUUCACAAUCUACCAUGGGCACACAACUUUAGGACAAUCUUGUGACUCCCAGUGUGGUCCCCAAAGGGGCAGCAUUGGUACAUCCUAAGAGCUUGUUAGGAAUGCAGCUCCCGGACCCCAUCCCCCAGACUGAAUCAGAACCUGCAGGCUAACAAGGUCCCCAGGGGAUUCCUUUGCACCUUGAACUCAGAGAUGCGCCGCCUUAGAGCCUGGUUCUCAAUUUAGCCUGCAUCAGAAACACCCAGAGAGCUUGUUAAACAACAUUGCUAGACCCCACUCUCAGAAUUUAUGAUUCACCUCACCAUGGACGGAGCCCAAGAAUUCAUAUUUCUAACAAGUCCCCGGGUGAUACGGAUGCGGCCCAGGGACCCCACGGUGACAACCACUGCCUUAGAGUAAGCUGAUGCCUUGAGACCGGCGGCCGGUAUGCCCCAACCAGAAGUCCCAGAGUGGACCCUAGGGACAUACUUGCUUGCGUAUUUGGAUGGCAAGACCUAUCCAUUCUUUGCUGAAUUUUUGGUGGUUUUAAUAAAAGUAGCAUAUGCAUUUUCAUUUUAUGGAAUUUUUGUCAAAUGAAGCAACAGGUGUCAGCUGUAGCUUCACAGAGAACUGUUUGACCUUGACAAAAAAUUCUGUCUCUGGGUCUCUAUUCUUCAUCAAGAAAAGGACGGGGUUGAAUGAGGAUCAUAAAACUCUAUGCUUUAGAGCCUACUUUCCAUCUCCCAGGUGAAGGCAGAAGUUUCAAAUGACUGAAUCUUGGUUUUCUUCAUAAUUGCUUGGUCAUAUCCAAGAUUUAUUUAAGUCGGGAAGGCAACCCUCUACCCUAUGUGGCGCCACGGGAUAAUAAAAUUCAGUUUCCCUCCCCAUUUUAUUUAUUGUAAAAACAAUAUUCUAAAAUAGGGAAGACAAUUGGAGAGAUUAAAAACUUCAUUCCACCCUAACACAACAGCUGUUUUCAUUUCGCUGUGUUCCCUUCAUGUGCGUGGAUGAUCUUUGAGUUUAUAUCCAUUUGUAUUCCACAUCUUCACCGCAUUUGGUCAUAAACAUGUCACCAGCAAUAUACAAAUAAAGGAGUUCAGCAUGAAGUCACUACUACUGGCAUUUAACUUUGUUUGGCUAAUGUGAUCAGGGAGGCUGGUCCCUCAUGGAUGCUGUAAAUUGUAAUUUUUUUUUUUAUUGUUCGGGACGCUGACCAUUUUCCCCAUGUGUUUGUUUACAAUAUGAAUUCACUAAAGUUUCUUCUCUGUGCCCUGUCUGUUCAUGGGUAAUGGAGGAAGUCAUUGACAAGGGCCUUGCACUAGGUCUGGCAGUCAUCAACAGCCUCAACAAUACUAGCUUGCCUCCUGCCUGAGCCUCAUUCCUCCUCUGGGAACCACUAGGGCAGUGGGAAGUUGGGGCCGGAGAGUUUGUGGCAAGGGUCUAGCAUGGAGUCUGGUGGGCACAGAACACAGCUCUUCUGGGGUUCUCUAUCUGCCAGGGCUUGGUAGUGUUCUAAAUCUAACAGAUACUCAUUUAACAAUGACAUUUCCAUGAACACAUUUGGGGGAAAAGUGACAUCUUGUUGAAUCUAGUAGCCCAGUUUUCCUCAUUUGCAAAACAGAACUAAUAAUAUACCUGUUCUUUGACUUGUGAGGAUUAAAUGAUACGAUCCCGUAUAAUAUGGCCUCAGGCCUGGCACCCGGGGAAACACGCAGGGAACAUUAGCCUCAUCGUAUGCUCUGCCACAUUUAUAACCGAAAAGAUGAUUAUUUUUAAUUUUAAUAAUCAUAGCCAGAUUGCUUUCCAAAAAUUUUAAGUGGAUCUCAUUUAAAUUUAGAGAAUAUUCUGAACUUUGAAUUGAAAGACUUAUUUGCAUUUUGAAAGUCUCCAGCUACACAUUGUACUAAGCCUGUUCCCAAAGCUCUCGUUUAAGAAAUAAGGAGAAAACAUUGUGGAAAUAAAGGCAUAUGCAUAGUGUCAAGAAGAAGUAACUACGGUCAAGAAGGCAUCACUUAAAAAUUCCUAUUUGUUGGUGGCAAAUAUUACUUCCCCCGCUCCUUGGACAUUUAUCAACAGAAUCUCUUCUUUCAAUAUUGCAAAAAGAUUUACCAGGAAACUUGAAUCGACCAUGAAUGAUUCCCAAUUGAAGACGUAUAUUCAUGUGUGUAUGUAUAUGUAUAUGUAUUUUUUCAUAUGUUCCUAAAAUAGAGAGCCCCAGGGAGGAGGCUUCUCAUUUCCUAUGACAUAGCAAAUCAAUAACAACUCCUCGUGUGUCUAAAGUGCUUUAUGGUCUGCAAAGCAGAUUCUCAUAAAUUUUCUAGUUUGAGUCUCACAAUGAUCCACUGGGGAGGUAGAGUAAAUUUUAUAGUCCUUAUAUUACCAUUCGGGACUCUGACCCACAAAGUUGUUCUAGCUUAUUUGGGAUCCCACAGUGGGCAACACAGCUGCGUCUGUCUGCAGAUAUAUGGUCUCCAAAUCCAGGGCUCAGCUCACCACUCACUCUGACCACUAGCUCUAUUAAAACCCAUUAGUCUUGGUCAAAGGCACCCAACUUAAUGUAAAUAUUGAAAGAACAUUUCUGAACCUCUAAACAGAAUUCUCAAUCCAUCUUCAAAAGACAGGAUUUGAGUCAGGUAUAGUGGCACAUACCUCUGAUUCCAGAUACUUGGGAGGCUGAGGCAGGAGGAUUGCAAGUCUUGUGAUUUAGUGAGAUCCUGUUUCAAGAUAAAAAUUAAAAAAAAAAAAUUAAAAAAAAAUUUUUUUUACAAAGACUGAGGAUGUAGCUCAGUGCUAGAGUGUUUCCCUUGCAUGUAUGAGGUCCUGUGUUCAAUCCCCAGAACAGGAGGGGGAAAAAAAAAGACAAGUUUGCCAGGAAAGCCAAGCGUGCACUGACUUCCAUUGAGGAUGAUAAGAUGUGAAAGUUAGAGCCAACUGAUCUGAUUCCACCUGGAGCUACCGCUGUGGUUUGUUUGACCAUGUCACAAUUCUCACUUAGUUUUUCAGGGACUUGGACAUCUCUCAAGUAAGCACAGGGUGUGUGUUUGUUAAAGAUGCUGAUACAGCAAAGGAACAUUACCCACAUCCGGGCCUCAAGGAUUUCCUGCAGGUAGGGGCUUGCAAGGUCUUCACCUUGAUCCCCUGCUGUGGAGCCAGCAGAAAGGGCUUAGGAAGGCACACUGUUGAUAGGGAGAAACGACACAUCAGGCACCGCUCCCUCUUCCCCACAGCAGAUGAUGUUUAUGAGCAUUCUUUUGGCAAUGUGACCUAGAACAGCCCCAUGAGAAGGCCCAGAUGAUGUAAGAAGAUCACUGGCAAACACUGGGUGCUUCAAGUCAGACAAACAGUCUUCUUAGUUACCCAUGGUAAAUAUUGAUAAUUGUGCGUUCAUCUUUGUUUUAUGUCAGAGGCAGGGUUCAUUCCCAACUGUAGUUGUCUCUGCCAAGAAGAUACCAUUGGCCACUGUAUUAGUUUGUUUUAUGUUACUACGACGAAAUACCAGAGGCAGGCUGACUUUAUAAAGAGGUUUAUUAAGCUUACAGUUCUGGAGGUUCAAAGUAGCAUGGCACAGGCUCUGGGGAGGGUCCUCUUGGCUGCAUCACAUCAUGGAGGAUGGCAAUGGUGGGAGCACAUGCAAGGGAGAGAUUAUAACUCAAAACAGGAAGCCAGAGAUAGCUGAGGUCCCACAGUCCCUUCCAGAGUCAGGUCCUCAAUUGACCCAAGAACCUCCCACUAGGGCCCCACUACCUCUUAAAGCUCCCAACACUUGCUACCACUGCCACACUGGGGACCAAGCUGCCAACACAUGAAACUUUGAGAGGACAAACAUCCAAACAUGGCAGCCACCUUCUGCAGGUGCUACAGCUUGCCUCCUGCCAUAUUCUCUGGGGUACCUGCUGGGACCUCUGGAGCAUGGGCCAAGAGACCACUAUAGGAGACGGGGGUCUCGGGCAAGGCAAUUACCAUGUCUGAGUUCCAAUUCCUCAACAGUGAAGUGGAGAUCAAAGUGUCUGUUCUUCCUACAUAGGCAGGUGGGGCAAAGGUGAUCAUGUGUGCGAAGGAGCAUUUUUUUCCCUAGGAUUUUUUUUUCAAUUUGAUGUCUUUCAAAUCAUGAAAGUAUAACCCAUUGGCUGUAGUAGUUCAAACAGUUCAAAGACAUAAAAAAGAAAAAUGCCACCAUUACUAACUUUUAGUCCUACCCUUCUGAGCCAUCCAGAGUCUUUAUACUUAUAAGCUUUUAUGUGGCUCAUAUAAGCAUCUGCAGGUGAAUGCACACAUUUACUGGAGUUUGGAGUUUAUUUCAUUUUAUUAAAAUAGAAUCAUUCCAAACUUAUGGCCCUGCAACUUUCUUCUUCAUUUGGUAAUAGAGCAUAAAUAUCUCUAUAAAUCUGUGGGUAUAAAUUUAGCUUAGUCUUCGUUUUCUUGAUUUUUUAAAAUAAAUGCAUACAUGUAUAUAUGUGUAUGAAAGUGAAAUACGAGAUCAUUUUUUACAAAUAUUUUCCUCUACUCCCCCGCUACCACUUGUCACCCUUUCUCUAUGUAUCCUUUAUGCUUUCCUUCAUGUUCAUAUCAUCAAAUAUUUAUAAACAUAUGUACUCCUCUGAGAGUCUCCUUCAUUGUUUGUUUCAAAAAUGAAAUAGUACGCAUCCUUGUCUUAUUUUACUCAAUGAAAGCUCAUGAAAAGACUUUAACUGGUUUAGUGUGAUUUUUUUUAAUGACUAUGUUAUUUUAUGGAGGCACUUUUGAGCUGGUAAAUAUAUAGCUACCAGCUCUGACUGCAAGUGCUUGCUACUAUCUGUGCCCUAAAUAUUCCCACUCUGGUUAAUUUCAAACUUCAAACAUGUUGGCAGUGGAGAUGGAAAGAGAUGUGCACAGCAUCUCUGGAGAAGUUUCCAGAAAACUACUGGAAAGAAGUUCCACUUAGAAUUUUUCUCUCUACUGAUGAGCAGUCAUUGUUUCCAAAAAGGCGGAUGUGUUAAAGCUGCCUUAUAGCUAUAGUCUUCAAAUUGAUGAGUUUAUGUCUGUGGGCUGGAUUCCCCUGGAGUGAGGCUGUUGGUUCAUAAUGAAUGCAUAUUUAAAAAAAAAAAAACCUUAGUAAGUGCUGCUAGAUUGUUUUUCAAACAGUCUUAAAAGAGCAGUUACAAUUACCUUUCUGCCAGUAAUACAGAGAGUACUCUCUUUCCCAGGGUAUCUGAGAGGGAUUGGUAAUUAUGUUCUUUCAUAAUUUCUGCCAGUUGAAUGGAUUUAAAGGGGGAACUUUUUUGUGGUUAUUUAUUUUGUUUCCCUGACCACAGUCACAUUUGAACAACAUUUCAAGUUUUUGGACAUUUAGAUUUGGCAGGUCAGCACAUAUCCUGGGUGCUAAACUGGGGGUGUAAUUUAGUAUAACAGUGUAAAAAGGCCCUGGCUUUGAUCCCCAGCACUCCCCACUCCACCACCAAAAACAGACACCUGGAGGGCUGGGGAUAUAGCUCAGUUGGUAGAGUGCUUGCAUCACACGCACAAGGCCAUGGGUUUAAUCCCCAGACCUCCACACUCCUGCCUGCCCCCCCCCCAAAAAAAAAAAACCCCAGAUACCUGGCUUAACAUCGUAGCUCUGCCACUUCUCAGUGCUUCAGUUUCCCCAUAUACAAAAAUUUAAAUUAUGAAUAAAAUUGCAUAGAGCUAUUGAAAAAUUUAAAAAAUAUGUAAAGUCUGUAGAGUGGUGCAUACACCAAGUACAAAAAAGUAUUAGCUACUCUUUUCUAUAAGCCUCAUAGUUUAGACUUUGUUCAUUUUACCAGUGGCUGGUUUGCCUUGUUGAGCUGUCAGCACUCUUUAUAUAUGGAUCUUGGUCCUUGUUAUUUGCAUUGCAAACAUAUUUCCAAAUUAGUUAGUGGUCCCCCUAGCAAUCUCUAUUAUGAUACUUUUUGACACUUUAAAAAAGCAUGUUUUUUUUUUAACAUUGUCAAAUAUCUAAUUUUUUUUUAAAAGCACAUGUUUGUUCUGGUUUGUUCUAAGAAUGUCAGGCAUAGUCUCUGGAUUUUCCUUAAAAGUAUUUAUUGCUUUAUCUUUCCCUCUAUCCAGUUUUUGUUUUAUGCCUGUUAGUAUGCCAUCAGAGGGGUCUUCACGUAGGGCCUCUGUCCUAUUACAUUUGUUAGCAAAGAUUUCAUAGAUUUUUGUCAUUAUUAUACAUGGCUUUUUUCUAAGAUUUUUAUUUUAAGUACUUAUUAUUACAAAGAAAAUAGCCACACACACACACACACACACACACAUACACACCCCCCCACACACACAUGCACAGUUGGCCCUCUGUAUCUUUGGAGUCUUCUUCUCCUCCCUCCCCCCCACUCCCCACCCUCUUCUCCUUCUUCUUCUUUUUGUCCUUUUUUUUAAUUUUUAAAAAUUUUUUAAAUAGGGUUUCUCUGUAUUGCUUAGUUUGGUCCCAAAUGGUCCUCCUGCCUCAGCCUCCAGAGUAGCUGGGGCUCCAGGCCACACACUGCCUAGCCCAGAUUGUUUUAAUCACAUCUAUACUGAACAUUCACAUUUCUUGUUAUUUCCUAAACAAAACAGUAAAACAAACAUUUACAUAGUAUUUACAUGGUGUUAAGUAUUGUAAGUAAUGUAGGGAUUAAUUAAAGUAUACAGUUGUGUACAAAUACUGGACCAUUUUUUAUAAGUGAUUUGAGUAUUUGGGGAUUGGGCUAUCUCUUUGGUUCCUGGAAUCAUUCUCUCAUGGUAACCAAGGAACAGCUACCCAUGUAAAACCAGACUCUCUUACUGGUAUUAGUGGUGUUGGUGUCUGGGUUUCACAAGACUUUUGUAUUUAUAUUCCCAAACUCUCCUAUUAAAUCUAGUAGUUUUUAAAAUUGAUCUCUCCCCCAGCCCCACACCAGAAGUGGCUCAUGGAGGAUGAGCAAGGUGGCCGUGUGACAAAGGAGUGAACUUCUUGAGUCAGCCACCACCGUCAGCCACCAGUCUAAUCCUGGGAGUGUACACAGCUCAGAAUAAUCCUGGCCACGGAGCAGGAGAACUGGAAUAUUUAUACCCACAUCCAUUAGUCAUCCUUUGGUGGCCAUCCUGGGGUGGGAAGCCAUCGUGUCUCUCGUGCCUUUACGUGAAGUGUCUGGAGGAGAGAGGAGAAUAAAGCCCAGUUCUUAGAGUCUCUUGGUCCAAGGCAGUCACCUACCUUGAACUGGAAAUUUCCUGAAUGUGGAGUGGUACUUUAAACUUUAUAUGAAUUUUGCAGUCUACUCUCUCUUUUUUAUCAAACACGUAUGAUUGAAAUAAUUUCAUAAUGAAGGUUUUUACAUAAAAUAACAGCCAUCACGGACCUUUCAGGAAGAUGCCCUAUAUGCACCUCAUGACCAUUAGUGGCCCAGUACCCAUGUGGUCAGCUUGGGGACGCAGCUCAGGGGCGCUGUGGGAACCGCCUCCUCACCUUGCCCCCACUCUCUGGUGCUGUGCUCUUAUCCCAAGCACAGAAUGGAACUAAGCUGCGUGCUCCAAGGCCAAAACCCAACUCUUCACCUCCCUCUUCCCCUUGUUUCCGUCACAGUCCUUCCCAAGUGCAGAGCUCUGUGAGCACCAGUGACGUUUCCUGGUGGACCACCCCUCCUCCUCCUAGGUACUGGCCCACUGAGCACCUCCUCUCCAUCCCCGUCUGCCCCAGUUCACUUUAUGCCGGCUCUUCCCAGAGAAUGACUGCGUCCUAACAGCCCCCAGGUCCCCAUUCCUGCCUCCUUUGCUGUCACUUGGAUCUGCUCCUGAGAGUCCUUGGCCAACUAACUCCCAGCAGGGCUGCAGGACAAGAGCUGCUAAUGAAGCCUAAACUGUCUUUCAUUUCAGUCCCCUGUCCCUACCCUCCUUCCCUCACUCUGCACAGUCCAAGCUUCAACCAAUUUCUGUCCAUUCCUAAACAUCGUCACUAGCCGGCUCCAACUGAAAUGACACGGCAUCUUCAAGACCCAGGUGACAGGCCUCUUUUCCUUGAUCUUCCUUGACACUGACUGGCUUUCGCCCUCACCCUCCAGAGCUCAUUACCCCUUUUCUGUUUCUAUUCCACUGUAUUUGUAUUCUAGCCAGCACAUGAGGUUUCUCUCUCUCUCUGUCUGCCUCACUAAGAGACCCCCAUAGCUUUAAAGAGGAAGCUCUGUAUCUUAUCUUUGUUCUCUAUGCCCUGGACAGUGCUUGGGACAAAAUAGCAUUUCAAAAUAUUUGAAGGCCACCCUGGGAAGGUAGGAUGGAUGGGUUUUUUUUUUUUUUUUGGGUGCUCCACUUCUUUGAAGAAGUUUUUCUGUGCUUAAACUGUCUCACCAGAUGUGCCAGAGAGGUCAGUCUACUUUACCAGGGACCCAGGGAGCUAGGACACAGAGCUAAGACUCAGACUCUGCCCUAUCAGAUCCCUUGUGUCAAACCACGGUGUGGCGACAGUGUGGUGGAGGUGUCUGCGGUAGUCUCUAAUGCCUGGGGUCACACUGUGAACUGGGAUAUUCAAGUCUUGUGGCAUGUUUCCGCCUGUCCCUGAUUCAGGAAAGUCCAUGAGAUCCUCUUCAUGUCCUUCAAUGUGGUACCCUCAAACGAUUAACAAAUUUCCCAUCCCUCAUGGACCGUUACUUUUGCAAAAUAUAAUAAAUGUGCAUUGCUAGAGAAACAACACACAAAAAUGAAUAAAAAGUUGUCAAAACAUACAAAAUGCAAACACCAACUUUUAUCAUUAAUUCAACAACAUGCAGUUAUUCUGUCAAGUUGCUAUAAAUGUUUUUGACCACUUAUUUGCAAUGCAUCAUGGGUUGGUGACAAACCACAUGUAGAUGGAAAGGGACUAUAGCUCAUGCUUUGAGCAGGUAAAUUUCUGUUGCGGAACUGGCUAAAGUCGGCUCUGUUGAUAGAGCCCGAAAAGCUUAGUUGGCCCAAUAGACAAGGUGGAUGCUGUUUCUUUCUUAUAAUUAAGAAAACUUAGGAUCAGUAACAGGUUAGAGGGUAACCGAGUGGGGAAUACUCAGAAUUGAUGUUUAAAUAAAGAGAAUGUUCAACAGGGAAAUUACUUGCAUAUACUUCUAUGUUUAAUAGCUACAUGAGUGAUCAUAAAGGACGGAAAAAUAAGGACACUAGGGUCUCAUAAAGUUGCAGGUCACUAAGGGAAUUUUUGCAGUGGCCACAGGGAGCUGUCUUCAGGUGUGGACUGAAGAAAGGCUAGCAACUGGCCACCCCAUCCCUGGACAGCAGCAGCUGAGGGCAGGGUGGGUACCAGGGCUAAUGUCCUGGCCACCCAAUGCCUGGACCUGUGGGCACCUUUCCUCUCCGUGGGUGCUAGGGAGAAGAAGAGUAACUGCCAAAGGCUCUGUCUCUCCUUUGGCCUUAGGAACUGCCCCAUGGCUUGGGGUCACCAAGUAGGCACUAGGGAAAUGGUCAGGUCCAAACAAGAACUCACUCUCCACCCUGGCGUGGAGCACCGUUCCAGGUGCAGAAGACACCAGGAAAGCAACACCAUGGCCACCUGGGAAGUGCUCAUAUUCUGGGGAGUGAGAUGCAAUAAGUGACAAGCCUAAUAAAGAAUUGAUGGUUAUGUGACCAUCAAUUACGUGAAUGCACCUAGUACCCCUGAGAAUGCACUUAAAAAUAGUUCUAAUGGUAAAUUUCAUGUCUAUUUUUACCACACUCAGAUAAAUCAUCUUUUUGAAAAAAUAACUUGUAGGGGGUGGGGUGCCUUUCAGCAAUAGAGUAUGCACUUAGCAUGCAAAGGGCCCUGGGUCUGAUAACCAGCACCAAUAAUGAGAAUAAAAUAACAAUACAGAUAAUAGUAAACUAUGUGAUUGAGUACCUCUUAUCUGAAGUGCUACAGAUUUGGGGAUAUUUCUGAUUUUGGAUUUGGGGUGAGGGAUGUUCAACCUGUGAUACGCUUGAAGGUGAUUCGUGCUAUAGGAAAGAUGCAACAGAGCAGGGUAUAGGCGUGGGUCACAGAGGUUUGUAAAUCUUGUAAAUCAAUAGGGGAGCUUUUCAGUUGUAAAAGCAGCUGCCAGCAAAGCCGGUUCUGGGCGGGGGUGUGGUUGAGAAGGGUUUCUCCUGGUUGGGUCUCUGAGAUGUGAAUGAGAAUGUUUUAGACCCUUGAAGGCAAAUUUGGAAAAUGGGAAAACAAUAGAGAGUUAUUUUGGCAACCUCAUUUAACAUUCAGUUUGUCACAGGUUUUUGUUUUUGUUUUUUUAAUCUUAUUCCUUGGGUUUGAAGUUUAAGUUAACAAUCUUGUCAUUCUGUUUUUAAAAUUAGUUUGUUUUUCCAGGGCUGGGGAUGGAACCCAGGGCCUCAUAUACUAGGCAAGUGCUCUAUCACGGAGCUAUACCCCUAGCCACCAAAUUAGUAAAUUUUAACCACUGUUGUCAAAAGAAUGUCAUAAUUUAGUAGAUGACAAUUUAGUAGAUUGGAGCAUCUUACUCCAAACUAUGGUGCCUCGACAUAUUGAAUACUUUAAGCUGAAGGAAUCUGAGUGUGUGUGGGAAGGGCUCUCUGACCUCCCGUGAAGAGGUCAUAAGACCCUCUGUGAGAGGUGUCCUCCCUGUGUCUGAGGAAAGGGGCACCCUCAUCUCUGUAGACACAGGGUUACAGAGAAGCAUGUGAGCUGCCUCCAGACUAUCACGUAUCCUUUAUUCUAUUGCAUUUCUCUGUGGCCCUCUGAGCUUCAUCCAACCUAGCAUUAGGUCAGCCAGGUUUAACUGUUUCUUUGGGUCUUCAUUUCCAUAUGAAGACUCUAGCAUCAUACAAAACUUAAAUGAAAUAAAUGUGCAUGUUUUCCUCUUGUUACUGUGAAGCUGAAGUUCUCUGAAGAAGCCAGAUCUAUGUUAAAGCUCCUGCAGAAUGCUUGACCUUGGCGAGUAGGACAUUGUGAUUGUGGAGAGAUGGAAUGUUGCAGGUCAAGAACCAAAAUUAUCCUGGGUUAUCUUAGGCCCUUUAAUAGCCAUUUACUUUCAACCUCUGCUUCUGACCUAACUCCUUGUGACUAUUAGGUAAAUCUCACAGAAUGUGUCACUAAGCUUCACAGACCUCUUGACUCUCCCCACCCUAAACUAAGAUGCUCCAAGGCAACAUCUGAAACCUAUAGAAGAGGCUUCCCUGCCCGCCUACCUCAUGCCCCCACGGUUGUAUUUGUCAAAUGCAUUCAUCUAGGACUCACUGUAUUCUAUAGCUCUACGCAUUCAUGUGACUUCUUCUGCAGCAGAACAUGUCAUGCCAUUCGGGGUAACUUGUUCCAGGGCCAAGGUCCCUUGUAUGUGGCUCAGAAUAAACUAUUGUCUUAUUUUCCUAAGACCCAAUUGUUAUUUUACAUCAACAUUAUUCUGUCUUUUGUUAUAGGGACCUUGGCUAUGAACCUAGUUGGGGAUGAGGAGAAAUAUCUUUGCUUUCCUGUAUUAACCUGUUUCUUGUUACAGGGGCUUCAAACUAUGCUACUCUAAAAUAUGACUGUAGGAGCCAGAAUUUGCCACCCCAAAUAGACUUCUUUGGUAUAUUUUGAGCUGGUUAUUCUGAGAAGCUGCAGACCUAGGAGUAGCUCUGAAAAGUUGUCCUUUGUAAAAGAAAUUCACAUCUAAUUUUUUUUUCUCUAGGUACUGGGUUUUCUCUAGGUACUGGGAACCCAGGGAUUUCUCCAUGUUGGGCAAGUCCUCUACCACUGAGCUACACCUCAGCCACAAACUUAUAUCAAUAAAAGAAAUGAACAUUAGUAAAAGUAGCUGUUUCAGAAAGAGGCGGCUCCAGACAACUUUUAUCAUCUGAGAGACUUUAUCUGCUUUUAAGACCACUUUUGUUCAUGGUUAGGGUUUGGAUAGGAGGUGUUCCCCCAAAGCUUCUGUGUUAAUGUAGGAGUAUUGAGAGGUAUAUUGGUUGGAUUAUGAGAGCUGUGACCUAAUCCGUCCAUAGCAGUUUGAAUGGACUAACUGGAUGGUGACCCUAGGCAGUAUAACUGGAGGAGGUGGGUCACUGGGGACAUGCCCUGGAGGGGAGCAUCCUCCCUGCAGUCCCUUCCCCUUCCUCUCUCUAAUUCCCAGCUGUACUGAGUUGAACAGAAUCCUGUUCUGCCUCACCUUGGGCUACAGCAAUGGGAUCAGCUGACGAAGGACAGAACCUCUGAAACCAUAAGCCAAAAUAAGAUUUUCUUCCUAUAGAAGCAAUGACAUUUGGCCCUUCUUGAGUCUUGAUGUUUUGUGGGACUCUUAUGUCUACGUAUGUAAUUAAACAUAUUUUUUUUCCUGUUAAUCUGUAUUAUAUCAACUUAACUCAUAGCCCAGCCAAAGAGGCUAGAGGGCUGGAGGAAGCCGUUUUUCACUCCCCUGUGGUUCUCAGCUAAUGCACCUAAGAUGGGUAGGAGGAAAUUACAUUUUUCCUCCUCUACUCCCUUAAACAUUUAUAAAUAAUUCUAUUUUAUUUUCUUUUUUUUAGCACCCCUAGAAGGUUAACAAAGCCUUCCCCAAAAUGUAAGUCAUUUUUAUAAAAUAAGUCAAACUUGUAAAUAUGAUGACUCAUAAAUUCUCUUAGGUAUUUCCAUGCUGUUUACCAGCUUUAUUCUCUUGCUCUUUUCAUCUUAAAAUCUUAAGUCUAAAUCCAUCACUCAAUUACGCACCAAAUGGGAAUAACAAGACUAACAUACCAACUUCUCUCAGACAUGACUAAUCGGAUAAAUACCAGGUACACAUAGAUUAUUCCUACACUCAUAUAAAAAGGAUUGAGUUUGAUUUCUUUCGUCACUUUGAUACUUGAUUCUAGCCACAGAGUGAAUGACACUGACCUAUAACCAGACAGUUUCCAUCUCAGGAGGCCAAGGUUACAUACUCCUCAGUCUUUUGGCCAGGGGACAGGACUUGACUUAUGCCCAAGCCCCUGGUGUGAUGCCAUGAACUGUAACUGAGACUCCGAGUCACACCAAAACAUGCUCAGCUCAUUCUUCUUCUGAUGAGGAUUUUUCACCUACCUCCUCCAUGGAUGUGGGCAAAGUCCUCUGCUUUGGUGGUUUUACAUUUCUUUGAAAAAAUUCCUUUGGCUUUCUUAGAUAAUAUUCCUGAUUUUAAAGACCCUUUAAGAUAAGACAUUGGACUCUCUGUCAAAUCUUUAUGAUUCUUUGGUAACCUUUUAAAUUCAUUUCCUGACUUGGCAAAACAAAACAAACAAACAAAAACUACUUUCGUCACCACCUGAUGCUCAUGCCAGAUUGGGAAUUGAACCCAGGGCCUCCCAGAUGCAGGGCAAGCUCUCUACCGCAGACCUACAUCUUCAACCUCUUCUAUUGUUUUAUCUUGAGACAAGGUUUUUUGCUAAGUUGCCCAUGUUGACCUUGAACUUGUGAUCCUCCUGCCUUGGUAUCUGGGAUUACAGGCACAUGCCACUUGCUGAAUUCUUUUCCCAUUCUCCUCUCUGGCAGGUCCAUGACUCUUAUAGUUAUUUUAAAAACAUGCAAUUGAAUGCUUUGACUUUGUGGUCAAGUAGGAGAGGAAAAGAUCUUCUCACCAAUCGCUAGGUUCAUGGAUGAGGCCCCUACAGCAAAAGACAGAUGGACAAGAGGAAAGCAUUCAAAUCUAUUUAUUCUAAUUUGUACAUGACACAGGAGCCUUUAUAAGGAAGGAAUGCCUCAAAGAAAUAAAUAGAACUGUAUUUUUUAUGCUAGAUUUAAUUAAAAAAUGAUAGAUGCAGAGAAGCAUGAUUGGAUAAAACUAUGAUCUAAUGGUAGUAAAGUCAGGGAAUUUAGCAAAGCCAGGUUCUUCUCUGUGACCCUGUGUCUCCAGAGGAAAAGCACGUUGCUUUCCUCCAGGUACAGGGAAAGGAAGUCGCCUCUUGAAGGAGGAUCUUAUGACCUGCUUCAGAGGAAAAGGGUGGAAGAAAUUAAGAGCGUGAUCUUCCUAGGUUUUAUGAUCUGGUUCAGGGAGAAUGGAAGGGGGAGGUGAGGGUGGCCUUCCUACUUCUGCUAUUUUCUCAAAUGUCAAGUUGCCAUAUUUGGGGGUAGAGUGUCCAGAAUCCCAUGAUUCACAGCAUUAACAUCACACUAAAGGCAAGGGAAUCAGCUCUGUUACUCCUGAGGGGUUCUUCUUUUAAAAAUGACUUAAUAUUAAUAGAUAGUAUACAUGUGCACACUCAAACAUCCAAAAUCAUAAAGGAGCAAAGAACAAAAAGGAAGCUUCCAUCUCUCCUUCGUCUGCAGCCGCUUAGAGCUUCUUUCUGCAGCCAAGCACUGUGAUCGUAAUUUGCACCUCUUUCUGAAGAUACUCUGUGCACUGCAGGAACAUACACGGGCACAUGCACACACACCCGUAGGAGAGCCCCUGUGGUGGCAUACCACGCACGCUGCUCUGCACCCCAUUUGUUUGUUUGUUAACAGUAUAUGUUGGUGAUGGAUCCUUAGCAAUACACACAAAGUGACUCAGGAGGCUGAGGCAAGAGGAUCACAAGUUCCACGCCAGCCUUCACAAUUGAUUGAGGCCCUAGGAAACUUAGUGAGACCCUGUCUCAAAAUAAAAAAUAAAAAGGGUUGGGGAUGUAGCUUAGGGGUAAGAGCCCCAGAGUUCAUCCCCAGUAACACACCACACACACACACACACACACACUCACACAUACACACAAACAAAAGAAGAAGAAGAGAAAAAGAAAGGUUAUAUUAUGCUCAAGAUGGCCAAGAACAAUAAAACUAGGUAGAACCCUCCUACCUGCUCUGGGCCACCGACCUCUGGAAUUCUUAUUAAACUCACUUUUUUUUUUAAUUUGUUAAAGUCAGAACAGUCAAGCUUCUGUUACAUGCAGUAGAAUCAAUUCUAAAUGUGAUACUCUUUCUUUAUCUGCCAAUAUCAUUAUUUAUGUUACUAGCCUUUUAGAGUUGAAAAAUGCUGUGAUUAAAAAAACAAACAACUAAAAAACAACUUACCCUAUUCUCUUUUUUUCCACAAUGAGAACAUUAUCCAUAAGUUACAUUCCUAUAACUUUGAACUACUGGGUCAAAGGGUACAUGCAUUUUUCACUUUGAUUGGCAUUGCUGGAUUUUUCUCUGUACAGGUCGUACCAUCUUGGAGACUCCUUAAUGUGGGUGUGCAGGGCAGGAAUCCUCCAAAUGAAGCCUUCAGGACAUAUAUGAUCAAAAGCUUAACUCUGUUUUAGAAUUUCUCUUGGUGAAAUCAUUUUCUUUUCUUCUUUAGAAGUAGAAAGGCUUCAAUAGGCUGUAUAACAGCACAAGACACUAAGAUUCACUUACUAAUUGAGAGGGAUGUAUCAAAGGAAUACCAAUAAGAACUCUGUCCUCAGAACGGGCCUUAAGGCACAUUCAGAUACAAAUCAUAGCUCCUUUAUCAGAUAGGAAUUAUAGUUCCUUUAGCAAAGAUGUGAAUCCCUCCUUUUCUGACAUAUUGUGGUAUGGUUUGGAUAGGAAAUGUCCCCCAAAAUUCAUGUUUUGAGGGCGUGGUCCCCAAAGCAGCAAUGUUCAAAGCAAUGUGGAGAUUUUGGGAAGUGACUGGAUCAUGAGGAUGCUAACCUCACCAGUGGAUUGAUCCACUGAUAGCUGAAUGAUCUACUGAGGGGUGUCGGAGGCUGUAUGUCAUGGGAUCUGGUUGAAGGAAACUGGUCACUGUUUGGGCAUCCCCUGCAAGGAUAUUUCUUGUUCCCAGUGCUCCCCACCCCCAAUUUUCUUUUUCUCUGCUUUCUGACUGCCAUGAUAUGAGCAGCUCUGCUCUACCACGCCCUCUCCGCCAUGAUGCUUUACCUCAUCACUGAUCCAUAGUAAUGGAGCCGACUAACCAUGGACUGAAACCUCUAAAACUGAGAGUCAAAAUAAAUAUUUUCUCCUUUAAAUUGUUUUUCCAGGUGUUUAUCACUGACUAAGACAAUAGGCUACUGACAUAAUUAAACCAACUUAUUUUAGGCACCUAUUGGGUCUUAGGUACCAAGCCUGGUGCUAAAAAGAUAUAGAUACUGAGUUGAACUGUGUCCUCCAAAAGAUAUGUUCAAGCCCUAAUCCCUGGUACCUGUGAAUGGAAUUUUAUUUGGAAAUAUGGUCUUUACAGAUAAAACCAUACUGGAUUAAUGUGGUUCUUAAAUGCAGGGUCUGGUAUUUCUAUAAGAAAAUAGAAAGGGAGAUUUAGACACAGAGUCACAAAGGGAUGAAGUCCACAUGAAGACACAGGCUGAGAUUGGUUACGUUGACACAAGCCAAGGAAAGCCCAAGAUUGUUGGGAACCACAAACCAGGAACCAGAAAGAAGCAAGGAAAGAUUCUUCCCUGGGGCCUUCAGAGAGAACAUGGCCCUUCCAAUGUCUUGAUUUAGAACUUCUCGUUUCUGAAGAGUGAAAGAAAAAUUUUCUGUUGUUUGAAGCUACCCAGUUUGUGGUACUUUGUUGUGGCAGCCCCAGCAAACAAACAGAUAUCAGAGUUGAGCUCCUGGUAGGAAGUGGAGGGGCCUCUUUCCUUCGUGACCAUAGAGAGGUUCCCAGCACAUAUGUCCAUUAUUGAUCAAGUCACAACACAUGCAUCACUCUCUGUUUCAUGUCUGUCUCCCCUCUGGAUUGGGUUUCCUUGGGGGAGAAACUGUUUCCUGUUUGUUUGUGUAUUUCCAGAGCUGGGGCAAAGUGGGCAACAUCUGGAGGUGUUCACUGAAUAUGGACAGAAUCUAGUUGUUGAUUGACAAAUCAACCAUUUGGCUUUUGGGAUUGGUCCCUUGAUAGACAGCUCAGGUUGGAAAACCUACCAUUAAGUCUCCUGUUCCUCUUUCUGCCAAUGACAUUGGCGUUCUCAAUGUCACCCAGGACAAAUUCAGUGGCUUUUGCCUCCUGCCUGUCCUCUGCAGCAAGCUAGAGACCUGUUGCUUCCCAGCCUUCUUUGACUCAUCUCUACAACCUUUUCUCCCUCUCAAUGCCCUCUCAGCACCCCAUACUCCCUUGUGGCCCUGUCCUACUUGGUGAGUUCCAUUUUCCCCUUCAGGUGGAUAAUCUCCAGAUUCUUAUAACAGGCUCCUGUGGCCUGAGGUCCAGACUUAGCUCUCCAACCCCUCCCACAUCCCUGCUGGUCAGGAGUGGAGGUACUGAGCUCAGCCUGCCCAAAUCCAUCCCACCAUCUCCCCUUUCCAACCUGUCUCUCUCCUAAUGGGUCCUACCUCAGUAAUUGUCUCCAUGAUCUCCCCACUUGCUCACCCUCUCAAAGCCCAGGAGCCAUCCUUCCCACCAGCCACGACGUGCUCAGGACCAGUCAUCCUCCUGAACAUCCUGAGGGUCCUUUGACUUUUCUUUACACUGACUCGUUGAGGUUACUGUGUGCUCUCUUGGGCUCCAAUAGUAAGCGGCCUCCAAGCUGGGCUCCUUGCCUCCGGUCUCCCUCCUCUGCCAUUACUCCUCCGGGUUGUAACAAGAGUGAUUAAAAACAGAAAGCAAACCUGUAUCUGAGCAUGUAACUACCCUGUUUAAAACUGCGGUGGCCCCAAGUGUAAGACAAAGCUCCUCUCCGAGGCUUACACCACCCUCCCCACCUGGUAUGUGCUGCCAGCUUUUCCAGUGUACUUGGUUCCCACCAUAUGAACAUUUCCUGCAGUUCGUCAAACUUGCUCUCCCUCUCUCACCUCCGCACCUUUGUAUAUAAAGUUCCUCUGCCUGGAGUGUUCCUUUCUCCCUGCUUCAUUGAUCUGCCCUCAACCAGUGCUCUGAUCUCAGUUGAUAAACUGGGUUCCACUUUGUUGGGGAAGCCUUUCCUGCUCACUCGUACCACUUAGUCUCCCAGGACGUUGUUCCAAGGUUCCCUGCCACCUCAGCUUCACACACCUCACACCUGUACUUAUUAGUUUCCAUAUCCAUAAUCCUUUCUAGAUUGCAAAAUUGCACAAGGAUGGAGACCACUGUGUCUCCAGAGCCUGAUGGUCUCCCCAUAUGGUAGAUGCUCAAUAAAUAUUUAUCUAACAAAAGGAUGAAUGAAUCUCCAGAGCACCUAGUAACGGGGAAUUACUUGGACUGAGGCAAGACAAUCACAAGUUCAAGGCUAGCCUCAGCCACUUAGUGAGACCCUGUCUUAAAAUAAAAAACCCAUACAGGACUAAAGGUAUUGCUCAAUGGUAAAGUUCCCCUGGUUUCAAUCCCCAGAACCCAAAAGAAAAAAGUUGGUUAGAUUAAUGAAUUUUAAAUAAAUUUUUAGAUAUUUCAGGUGCAAUUGCUUCAUUUUAAACCUUUAUCAACUCAAACUACAUUUUUUUUCCAUGUCACCUUUAUUGGUCUCUCUGCUUCAACCCACACUGCAGAACACAUCCAGAUUAACUGUCACAAAGUCUGACAUUCAUUAGGUAACGCUCAAGAAGAAAAUGUAUUUACAGCUCCCCAAUAAAUCCCGAGCAAAGUCCAAAUGCUAUAGCUGUGUCAAGCCCUACAGAAUCUUUCGCAUGGAUUCUGUAUAUGUGUACUUGAGCUAAGGUGGGUGCUAAUGGGCUUCCAUGGGCUGUGCUGUCUAAGGUCGUCACAAACAAACCUUUUUACGGAGGGUAUAGGGUUCGUGGGAGAAACGUUUACUUACAAACCUUUACGUCGGACACUAAUUCAACUUCCAACGAACCACAAACUUGAACCACCAAGGACUUCCAGUGGCCACCUGACACAGGUUCGACAGUCAUGUCUAGUCGUGCACCCGAAAGUUACCAGGAAUUAAUUACCAACACGAACCCUCCCGACUCUUCUAAUUCUCCUAUACAAACCGUACAAACCUGCCGACUGAGAGUGUUUCGAGAGUUUGAAAUUUAAUUUACCAAUGAAUAAAUAGACUAUUGAAAAAUUUUCUUUUAAUCUUUCCGGUGAUUAAACCCCCCGAACCCUUAGGACCUGGACCGAAAAGAUCUGAACGUACUGUCAAAGGGAUGUAGGAAACACUACAAUGGAACGACCAACGUCGAACAGGUCCACCCUCCUCCGAUCAUCAAAGAAAAACCGGAACACACAUCAAAAACCGAGUCCACAACUGGUACCACAUAAGUUGUUCGUAGACCGUUGGGGACCGUAUUUGGUGGAAGUCCAUGAAGGAGACGGUCCUGUACGUGUCGACCUUUACACACACACACACACACACACACACGUAUUUUAUCAUUAAUUUUUAACAUUUCGACCUCUGAAAUAGGAAAUGGAAGUGGUAAACUCGGGAGGAAAAGAUGAGGAAGACCGAAACUCCAUAUGUUCACAGGUAUGAUGAAGUUCCGGAUAAGGGAUAAUUUAAUCCUUUAGUCGAAUCCAGUCAGACAAAAUGGUCUCUCUGUCCUAUCACUGGGCGUCUUCUUCUAGAAACUGUAAUCGGUUUGGACCUAAAUAGAGUCGAGAGAGAGAAGUGUGUAACACUUGAACUCCUCUAACUAAAUCGAGAGAUCAGAGACAAAGGAGUAGACAUACGACGUCCAUCUUGAUCAAAAUCGAGCUAAAACUCCUAAUUUACGUUACUAAUCCCGUUAAUAAACGGAACCUACGUCAUUUACGAGUAAUUCGUAGUCGACAAUAAUAAUAUAUGGGAAACUACGUUAACUAAACUUCACACUUAAACUUCGGGUCAACGACCAAGACCCCACCCACCCGUAAUAAUGUGAAUCGCGGUGCCCAUUCUCCUUCCCCAGACACCCACCACACAGGAGAGACCCCAACCGGUUAUCACCAACCGAGAUGAUGACUUCCAAAUAAGGGACCUCAACAACCUUGGACUUCCCGUCUUUGUUCUGUCCAGAAAGACCCCAAAUGACCUUGUACCUCGUGGGGUUGGGGUAGGAACCUGUCCAGGAGAACUGAAUUAUGAACAGCUUUAGGGGGAAGAGGAAAAGAGUAGAACAAGGAGAAAGGGAUAUAAGAUCUAAAUUUUAAGGUUUAAUCAAAGACUUAACGUGGAAUACCAUCGUAAGAACCCGACCGACAGGGGUUGGUUUCACAAUAACACUGGUCCAAUCAUCGGAGUGGGGUACGUUGUGUGUAUCGUAUCACUGGUCCUAAGGAUAAUGAGGUCUGGGUCCUCUAUUCACUCCUUUCACGAGGUUCAGGUUUCCCUGAACGUGUCGAGACCUGGGUGUCCGGAGGAUGGUCCCCCUACAACACCAAACCUACACCCCACAGGGGGUUUAGAGGACACAACUACGUCCUUAGAAGUCUCUGUUUUACUUAAUACUCCCGACAUUGGAUUAGUCAGGUAGGGUCAAAUUUCUCUGAUUGACCCACCAUUGACACCUGUCCACCCGACACCGACCUCCUCCACGUGGGGACCUCGUACGAACCUCCCCACGUAGAAGGGAACGAGAGACACAAGGUCGGUGGUACUCCACUGAAGGAACGAAUAAAAAGAAGAAUCGUAUAGAGUGGUGGUGGAGGAGUUCUGGAGGGGAGAUUCAAUUAUAGGAUUCCCAUCCUAGGAACACCAAAAUUCAUGGGCUUAAAGUUUCUGAUGUAUGUAGAGAGUUUCGUUAUAAAAGGAGUCAGGUGUAAUUACAUCCUUUUUACAUAUGAAUACAGAGUACUCGAGUCAGUGACAUCUUUAAUAAAAUGAUGUGCAGGAGAAUCUGGAGUUAUUCUCCAAAUACAAUUGGUAGGAUGUCAGAAGCAAUUGGUCCAUGUUUUGAAAAGUGUGCCAAGUGACAGCAGAGGGCUGGGCAUCCCCUCCUUUCUCCAUCCUCCAGUCUCAACACUCUUUGCUUAGUGAAGAAGAGUCCAUUCCAGGAAACUUCUUUAUGUUUUUCACUGCAAGUAUAAAAAUUUGCAGUAUAUUUUAUCUGCACUUUUACCUAAGAAUUUGUAAUUCUUUGCCAUUUAUGUAUGUGUUUGCUAGGACUCACCUCAAAUGACAUGGCAUACAAACUGGAUGUGUUGCUGCACAUAGAAUAACUGUUCAGAACUUUGUUAGUUAUUGAUUAGAGAUGAUGAAUGGUUAAAUCAGCCAAUCACUUGCCUUGAUUGGCUGUCAUGAAGCAAGCUUCCUUAUUGUAGGCUGCCCUUCUGGAGAGGCCACUAUGACAAAGGAGACCCUUAGUCAACUAGUCCUGAGGCCUCAGCCCAACAGCUUUUGAGACACUGAGUCCUGCCAACAGCCACAGUAGUGAACGUGGAAGCAGAUCCUUUGCCCCUGGACCCUUGAGAUGACUGCAACCUGACAGACACUUUGAUUGUCAUCUAAUAAGAACCUGCAUUAGAGGACACAGCUUCAUCAUACCAGCAUCCUGAGCCACAUGAACACAUAAUCCAGGCUGUUGUUUUAAGUUACUAAAUUUUGGGGUAAUUUUGUGUUCAGCAACAGAUCUCCAUUAUUCCAUGGAGUCUUUGCAGCAACUCACAACAACUCAUUUGAUGGGUGAGGACAAUAAGGCUCAAAGUCGUACUACAGCUCCACUAAUAUUCACCCCCCAAAUUAUCUAGGUCCAAUGUUCUUGUUCUUUCCCAUAACCUUGGUCUUCCUCCCAAUGUCCACCUUGUAAAUGGCGGGAAAACUCACCCAGGAGUGGGUCUGAUAGCAUUGACCAUGUGUCCACGAGUGGUAGUGGACUCCCCAAUAGUAGGUCUACAUGGAAUUCCCCAAGCAGGGAAUGAACUUAUUUGGCAGGGGAGGACUUGGGGAUUGUGUGUGGUGGGGAGGGACUGGGGAUAGGAGAAGAAUGGCAUGUGCCCAGGCUUCUCAGGAGAACAGAGCUAGGUCACCCUUCCAUCUUCCCCUCUGGAGUGGUCCCCUGCCCCCUGCAUUCUGUAUAUAUCAUAUUAAGCUUGGCAAUCAUUUGAAUUAAUGAUAUAGAGAUUCUCUAAAUAAAUCCCGCCACCAGCACUCAGACAUUUCAGUGAAAGAUCCAUCGUCCAGGAGUUAGCACUGAAGAUAAGCCAUUUUAUAAGAAAUUUGGUCCCAUGAAAAAGAAAAUGGGAAAGAAAGGAGAGUGCGGUGUUCUUCCCCUCCCUCCUUCACAAUGACAGAGCGCUUCCAAAUAAACAUGCUGUAUAAAAAUCAUAGCUGGCUUUUCUUUUAAUGCUGAAGUAUGGGAAAAUCUUUAAUUUUUACCAAUCCUGGGGGCUAGAGGUAUGAAACUUCGCUAAAUAGGAUGCACCCACCAAGCACAUUUUAUUAGCUCUACUAUCUGAUGGUGCUUUCAAUUUUUAAAACGGUUGCUUUAAAAAGCCUCUAGGGGCAUGCACAGCAAUCUCAGUUAAUCCUAUAAUAAUAAAAACCAGCUAAAGUGCUGCUGUAACAAUAAUGACCAGCGCAUGGGCUUGAAGAUGGAUAGUGAGGAGGAUUUCCAGCCAAGGAACGCCAGGGAUCCACCUCCGCUCCUCUCCUUCCUUAGCCAGCAGAAGCACGCUCAUCCUUCUUGUCCAGCUUUGCUGAGCUUGCCUGGAGGCAGAGAUAGAUGAAGUGACCUCUCCACAUCCUUUUCUAUCCUGGGAGUCUGAAAAUAUCCCUGACGACCUAUCCCAGAGGGAACUGACGUUCCGUUCCAGGCUGUGAAAAUUCAACUUAUCCAACAACACUCAUUACCCAGCCACCGUUGGCAAAGCCCGAGGAAAUUUUGGGGAGGGGAAAAAUGGGAUAUUGACCUGAUGCCCAAAGAGCUGUCAUCUAAUGGGAUCUGGGUGUUCCUGGGAACCUGAGGGUGAAUGAAAUAGGUAAUGUGGUAGAUGUCCCAGUCAAAUGUGCAGUUUGGAGGAAGUCAUCAUUCAUGUUGUCUCAGGAAUGGGUCAGUCUGCCAAAGGAGGUGACAAUCGUGUAGCUGAAUACCCAGUUUGCUCCUUGGAGAUGCAAAGUCAAUAAGUACAAGUAGGAGGUAAGAGUGAAGCGGUUUAUGACUUGCAGCAAGUAAGGAAAGCACUGGGGAUGAGUCCCAAAUCAGUGUGUCCCUCUGAACAAAGAAAACAGGGCGCUUUAAUUUGGGAAACUCAUGCAUAUUCAUAUUGGAAAGACUUGUCACGUGGAGAGGUAGGCAUGUUCCUGAGUGAGCUCAAUUUGUGCUCCUGCUUCUUCCAUACAUCACAUGUUAAAAAAUGGAUGAUGGGAAAGCCCCUGGGGUGGAGAAUUUAACAUUCAAUGAGAUUAUAAUGAGCAAAGCUAACUCUAGGUUACCUAAGAGAGUGAGUGAAAGUGACUCAGCAAUUUUGGCAGGUUCCUCGCACUUUUUCUCUGGAAAUCUACCUGAAACAAAAGAACAACUUAGCUUGAAGGAAUGUUAACAUUCAUUUCCAGGGCAGCAACUCCCACAACCCCAGCCCUGCGAGCAUAUGAUUCCCUCUAAAAGUUCCUGCCUAGAAGCUAACCAUUGGAUGACUUUUUAAACAUUUUUUGUGGUACUGGGGAUCGAAUCCAGGGGCGCUCUACCACUGAGCUACAUCUCCAGUCCUUUUUGUUUUUUAAUUUUGACACAGGGUCUCACUAAGUUGCUGAGGCUGGUCUUGAAAUUGUGACCCUCCUUCCUUAGCCUCAGAAGUGACUAGGGUCACAGGCAUGUACCACCACACCUGGCCCAUUGGAAUGAGAUUUUGCUGGCUGAGAAGAGGACACCAGGCUAAGGAAACAGCAUCAGCAAGGACACAGAGGUGUGGGAACAUGGGUUGUUUAGGCUCUUCCUGGUGACAUUAGUAAAGCCCAGAGAUAUGUGGAAAGGCCCAAACAUAGGCAGUCUUGAAGUCACAUUCAAGAGUUUGGUCUUACCCUGUAGAUGAUGAUGAAGAUUUGAAAGGGGGGAAUGAGUUAAAUCUUGAGACAGUCCAUCCAUGGUGUUAUGGUUUGGAUCCAGAAUUUCACCAAAGACUCACAUGUUGAAGGCCUGGUCCUCAAUGUAACAAUGUUCAGAGUUCAAGCUUUCGGAAAUGAGUGGAUCAUGAGGCCUCUAGCCUCAUGUGUGGAUUAAUCCAUUGAUGGAUUCAUAAUCAGAAUGGUCUAUUGGGAGGUGUUGGAAACUAUAGGAGGUGGAUAAGAAAGUUGCUACUGCCUGAGGAGCGAGGGUAGCUUCCACUUAUCUCAAGAUGUUUUUUAGAUCAGACCUUGUUCUUGGAAUCUGAGGAGAUGUAAGUGAAAUGGAGGCACAUUCGCCAAGACUUUACACCUGCUUUUAGACACCUUUCAUAUAUUUCCAGGCAAAAGUGAAGAAUCAAAAUUCUUGUUAUAGUGUGAUAGCUAUUCCCACAACAUUUACAUUGUAUUGAUAUUAUAAAUAAUCUAGAGUUUAUUUAAAAUAUAUAUGUAUUAUACCAUUUAUAUGAAGAACUUAAGCAUGCAUGGGAUUUUUGGUAUCCUCCAGGGUUCCUGGAACCAGUGGAUACCAAGAGAUGACUACACUAAAAAAUGAUUUAUUUAUCUGUAACUGGACUUUAACUGUGCAUCCUGUAUUCGGUUUGGUUGCCACAGGCCCAGAAAAGCGUUAAUUGCAAAGCUUCAUGCAGGGCAAAAAUGCUCAGGAGCCAGGCCCAGAGGCCAGCAUCUAAGUGAGGAGUCAAUAGCACCAAGACCAAUGCUGUGGUGGACACAGGAGUGGAUAUAGGGUGGCUGAAGCUGCCCAUGGCAGAGCAGAAAGAAGAGUCCGUUUCUGGAGUGAUACGGAGGAUGUGUAGGGCACCAACCAGGCAUGAGUAUGUCUCCAUCAUUCCCAAGGGCAAGGGUUUUGUCUCGUCAGUUUCCAUGCAGCUCGGAUCCUAUUGGCAAGGUUGGUAGAGCCCGAUUCAUUUCUCUUGAUUUCAUUUAGAGAUGGGAAAAAAAAGAUACAUUUCUCUAAAGAGAAGUACCUGUGGACCUUUGAAAUGCAAACAAGCAACUCCUGAGCAACCCAACGCACAUCCUUGGCCCCCAUCCUUGGCCUGCAAGAGUAACAGGAAUCAGGCGAUAUGCAAGUAACAUUGUGUCACUCCUCCCUGGCUCCACCUCUAGUUCAUUCCCUGGCUACUGAACCUUUAUAAAUAUUAACAUCCCGCAAAAAUGGGUUGCUCUCUCCUUUGAAGUUGGCCGCCAUUGCCUCUUGAAUGUAUAUUUCUUUCUUUACCCCCAAAGACGUCUCAUUUUUGAAACAGCCGCCUUCCCUCUUGAAUGUGUAUCUGCUUUCCUUGAGAAAUCUGUGUCUCUGACAGGGCACGCUGAAAUUCUUUUCUGUCACAUGUGCCAAGGAACCCACUUGUCCUGAGUUGAGGUCCCCCUCUCUGAGAAUUCCCCUGGGUGACAAUUUUAUUAUUAACCUUCAAUGCUGCCUUGUACUCUACUCCUUGGUCAAUAGACACAAAUGACACUCUAUGAUUAUCGGCUGAUGAUCAGCUGAGUAUAUUGUGUCUGAGUUCACGUUGGCCACUGGCUCUAGGGUGAUUGGUAAUGAAGACAGAAUCGUCCUUCUCCCCAUCUCUGGAGAGUGUAUUGGUGUAGUGGGUAUGUGGAGGAUUGGGUGGACAGGGACACAGUCACAAUGACCCUCUCAACCCACCUCUCACCAAGUCACCUCUUCAUAAACUCAUUCAACAAAUACUUACCAGAUAUCUCCUGUGUGGGGUGCUGCAUUAGAUCCUCUGAAGAGAAGCAGGCAUGCUUCUUGCCCUCAAAGAAGUUGUAUUUCAACAAGUUAUUGUGUGGGUUAUGGGGGCAAAGGGGUGGCACGAGCCAUGGGGGCCCAGGGGUCCAGCCAUCAGACAUUAGGCACAGGAGGGACAGUUAUGGGUGGCCAGAACCCAAACCCAAGCCUAAUGAUGAGAGAAAAUGGACAGGGUGUGUCUGAGGACCUGAAAGAAAUCCAAGUUGGCCAGAGCACAGGCUGCCAGGGGCACGGGGGAGGGGAGGCUGGGAGGCGGGUGGGUGUGCCUUGUCUUGGACUGUGUGGUUGAAACAGCAGCUGGUUGAACCCAGCUGUUUCCUUAAGCUCUCCAUUUCCCUUCCUCCCUACAGAAUAAGGUUAGGGUACUAGACCUGGGCAGACCAGUUUGUUGGAACAGUGACCUGAGAAGAGAAGCUCUGUAAACACUACAUUAUUAAUGUUAAUAGACAAUCAAUAUAGCCUAAAGGGUUGGGUAACUCCAGGAUCUAUAAGGCACAUCUUACUUCAUGAGAUGGUAAAUACGCCAACACACACCGGAACCACCUAGCCCAGUGCCUGGCACUCACUAAAUGCAGGCUGAAGAGAACCGUAGGAGCAAUUGUCAAUAUCAGUUACCAUGGACAAGAAGACAGCGGGGAGAGAGGGAGGAGGUUUCCAAAGGAAGUGGGACUCGGUGCCUCUGGGACCACAAGUCAGUCGGGUCUGAAGUAGCAACAGAUCAAACAGGCCAUGUUCUGACUUCAUAAUGAGUCUGUAAUUCAAAUGAAAUAAACUUUCUAGAUGGAUUCAUUCUAACCCAAUUUAUUUCACUUUGGUACGUUUUAAAUUCAAUUCGAUCAAUACAAUUCCCUACAUGCCAAGGAAAUUGUUUACAAAUCGUAUUGCCUAUAGAAGAUUUCCAUUCUUGUAGCUACUACAAGGAAAAGACAAAAAGAAGAAGCCUCCAGCACAGGAUAUUUAUAAAUAGAGGAGCGAGUUUAUUAUUACCUUCACCCAAAGAGAGUCCAGGUGAGAGCAAUAUCUAAGUAAACUCAUUAACAGUUUGUUUGUAUUUUUCUUCAUUUGUUUAAGCUGCAUGGAAUAUACGUAUGCUCUAAAGAAAAGUAUUGGGAACUGGUUGAAAGCUAUUUAAAAAUAUUUAGAAUGAAGUAGAGUUUAAAAUGUUCAGGGAGUAUAAGCUUUAUUUAGAGGAGACUCAAGUAUUAAAGGGUUAGACCUUUUUAUUUCAACACUUGUUGAAAAUCCCCCAAAAUUGUUUAUUUUUUCCACUUUCUUGCCUCAGUGAGUAAAGAACUUAGAGGCAAUUUUACUAUUUCUCUGUUCCUUAGCUCUUGCUUUGUCUAGGGCAAUGUGGACAUAUUGAACACGAUCAUGCACUCACAGAAUUAUGGAAAGUCAGACUGAGAAGCAGCAAGAGAGAUAAUCUCAUAAUCCCCUCCUUUGUCAAAGGGAAAACAGUUCAAGGGAGGCAAAGUGGCUUUCAUCAGAUGUAGUCAAAGCCAGAACCCAUGUUUCCCUCUUCUGCACAGGCUCCUUCCACCUCUCAUUUCCCACAAAUGUUUAUCCCAUAAGAUGUGGCUAGAUUGAUGCAUACCCCAGAAUGCAACCCUGGAAGUGAUUUUUUUUGCAUGAAUAUCUGGAGUGUGUGUAUGUAGGUGUGUGUGAGAGAAAGGAGAGAGAUUUUCAUUUUAAGUCUUAGAAAGUGGCUUUAUAAACAUGGUGAUUUGAAGAUUCUAUUUAGGUGUACUCAAGUCAUUUGUAGUUUUACUGUAAAUACAUAUUACUGUGUAUUCAUAUUGUGAAAUCUAUAGACAAUACUCUUUCUGAGUUUUCAAAAAUUGUGAUGAUGGAAACUAACAAACCAAACUACAUCCAAAUCUCCUAAUCAGCCCUGUGGUUUAUGUGACAGGGAUGUAUAGGGCCCAUGUGUGAAGUUUUAAGAUGACUGACACACAGACAUUUAGGAUAGUGCUGGGCAAAUCAAUCAAUCUACUGACAAUUAGGUUAAGAGCUACAUAGAUGCUAUAACAAAGAAAGACCUUUAAUAUGAUGUAUGUUAUUUAGAGGUAAGGAAAUCAUCUCCCUUGAAUAUAUCUAAAAUAGGAUUGGUUCUUCUCAAUAUAGAAGAGAUUCUUCUUGAGGAGAUAAUAUCAGAAGAGAGCACACAGGCCUCAAAAAGAGUGUCCCUGAACUGUAAGUGAGUGGGUAAUACAUAUGACCAUACGGCACCAUGACUGCAAACCCAAGUGCCUCCGAGAUUCUGGGGAAGUCUGUGACCAGCAAAGAGCUUUUAAACAUCAAGACAAAAUAGAUCAUCUUGACAAAAUCAAGUCCACUGGAGGUCACUCAUCAUCGUUAUUAUUCACGUGGUGAUCUUAACACACAACGUAACCAUCCUCAUGGGGCAUGAACCCAGGAAUCUGAUGAAGUGGACAGGGGGCAAGGCUGCAGUGUAUCCAUAAAUGUCUGCGAGGGCUGAGCAAAUGGGCCCUGUAGGAAUUAAAACCCACACAGACCCAACUUAAUCUGAAGUCCACCUCCCUUUAAUAUAGAGAAUAGCUUGGAACCCUCUUCCUGGGGCAAGUGCCACGUUGUGCCCCCUACUUCCACCUGCCCUGGAAGACUCCAGUGAUGGAAUACGUCUAACAGUAAGUAGCCUUAGCACAUGCAACACAUUUCUAGAAAUUCAUGAAAAAAAAUUUGCCAGAAGGCGAUCCUUGUUCAAACAUCUCUCUGCCCUGAGGCAGAAGUAGGGAGGACACUCCUAAGAAAUUUCCAGAAUGUGUCCUGAAUGCUGCCUUCAUUCUUAAAGUCUGCUCUCUCCUGGAGCAGGCACCUUCCUUCUCUGACUUCAGAGUGCAUGGAUGUCUCUCCCUCUUCUUCUCUUUCCUUCCAGCUAUAGGAAGAAAUGACAGAAAUGAUACCUUCUCCAGGUGCCUUUCAUCUCACGGCUGCAUUCGGGGGAGACCUUGUUUGGCUAACUCACAGACUGUCAAGGUUUUCCAAGAAGUUUAAAGAUGUUUCUGUGACAGGGACUUAGAGAAGCUGCCUCUGCCUGCAGAUGCUCAAUGGGGAACCGAGAAGCAGGAUGAGGCUUGGCAUCUCUGCCUUCAUUUUGUGUGUCUUCCUGUAUUUCCAGCCAGGGCCAGUGAUGCCUCAAAUGUGUAGCACUUUGGGUCAGGUUCAUGUCCAGCUUUCCACGUAGCCAUUUUAAUCAUUUAAGGAGUCUUCAGAGCCACUAGCAGAACCAGAAUUGAGAAAAUGAUCAGCCAGACCACAAUUUGACCAAGACACCCUUGUCAUGCACACCCCUGUCCCCAACUCAGAGUUGAGAUGCUGGGUGUGGCUUCGCCUUCCCAGUAUAGCCAUGUGGAUUAAGGUUUCCUUUCCUGUUUUUAUCAUUAUCUUAUCUGCUUGGUUUCUGGGACAAGUGGCUGGACCUAGUUUAUUGGGACCCCCGGAGCCAGGCCUAGGUCUAGGACUGUAGUGACAUUUUUAACUGUGCCGCCAUUCCAGAGGCCUGAAUGAGGAGCUCCAGCGCCAGAUGGAUAGUGUCACUUCUGUGUGACAAGCCAUAGCUGUCUUACCAAGCAUGUCACUUUCCUUCCUAUUGAAGGUCCUUUUGACACCUCUGGAAAUGGGGGAGGUGUAGGAGGGGGCUGGGAUUCUGGAGCUAUCAGACAUUGCAGACUUAUCAUUGUAGUUAUAAAAGAGUCUAUUCACACAAACUUUUCAUCUUCAUUCUUUUGAUUUCCUUUAACAAACCUCUCUUGCCUACCUACUAGUGCUAAGCAUAGGGGACACAACAGGGAGUCAGGCAGAGCCCCACCCUGGAGCCCCUCACAUUCAGUAGGGGGUAGGGAAGGAGAUGCACAUUCAAAGCCUUCCUCUCAGGGAAGUUUAAGGAGUGGCUUCCUGCAGGGUGGGCAGGGUUAAGACAACCUGUGAGGGAUGUUCAGACCCCCAGGGUAAGAACAGGAGGAACCACUGCUGCCUUAGCUGGAAGGGAUUAGAGAGCAAAGAGUAUUAUCAGAACCAGUGAGCGCGGAGCCCAGAGGAAGAUUCUGGAAGAAGAUUCUCUUAGGAAGACCUGCCUGUCAGAAACCGUAGAAGCUGUAGCCAGAAGGGAAAUCAGCCUUUGACAGAAACGCAUCUGGCAGGGAGCGAGUGGGAGCUGGUGGGCAUCUCUCAAUGGUGAACCACAUUGGUAGAAGGCAGGAGAGCCCUUGUGAUGCAGACCUCAGUUAACUUCUGGGGACCAGAGGGGACAGAGAAAGGGGGAGGGUGGACCUGAAGAAACCAGGAGAGCCCCUGUGUCAUCUGGGUGGGGUGAGGAUUUGAUGUGCUCACGUUGUAUUUCUAGCCAUGGCCAAUGACGCUUCAAAUGUGUAACCAGAGCAUAGAAAGGGGAGGGCUCAGGGGGUCCCUUCCACUGUGUAUCACUGAUGACAUUCUUGCACUCACAGCUGGCCACUGGGGUCUGCACCCUUCCCCUUGCUCUACAGAUCUGAAAAGACUUAUUCGAGGAGGUAAAGUGAAGCCAUAGUGAUAUAUUUACCUGGGGGUCAGGGAGAGUCUGCACAAAGAUCAAUCAGAGGAGCUGCCCUGGGGCUGUCUCAUAAUCAAACAAAAUAUGAUGCAGUCUUUGUCCUUGAGCAAUUUAUAAUCUCACUUGGGAGAGCAAACCUAUACAGAAAAAAAAAGAGAGAAACAAUAAUAUCAAAGACAGCAAAAAUAAAACAGUGAAAAGUGAGACCCAGCAGCAAAGGAGUUUCCAGUGGUAAAUGCAGCCCAUUCCUCUGUGUAGCUGGCAGGCUGGGUGGCCAUCAGCAGUCAGUGACCUCACAGCUUUCUGUGCUAUGUGCUACUCUUGGUGUGCGUACACAGAGACACACAUGCACACACAAGCACCUGUAAUGCACAAGACAUGCAGAUUUCAUGUACACAUAUGUACCCGUGUGCCUUCAUAUCCAUAUUCAGUCUCUGCUGAAAUGAAAACACAGAGAGGUGUAGAGAUGAUAAAAGGCAUUGUUAUUGGUGCCCACUCAGGCUCCUUUUACAAUGCUUAUGGCCCUUUUGAGGUUAUCCUCAAAGAAAACAAACACUCAUCUGCCUUUGCUGGAUGGUUGGUGAUUUUUCAGCUGGACGCCAUGGGAAUUCGGGAGCCUGUUUUGGGGUGCUAUAAUAGAAUACCGGAGACUGUAAUUUAUAAAAAAUAAAAAUUUGUGUCUUACAGUUUGGGAGGCUGGGAUGCCCACCAGGGUGCAAGCGGGUUUGGUGUCUGAUGAUGAUCUGGCCUCUACUUCCAAGAUGGCGCCCAGAAAGCUGCAUUCUCCAGAGGGGAGGAGCACUCACAGGGCAGAAGAGGAGAAGAGAGAGAACACACUCCUCAAAGUCCUUUUUUAUAGCAACAUUAAACUCUUCAUGAGGGUGGACCUCUCCCAACCUAAGCAUCUCCCAUCAGGCCCCGCCUCUCAACACUGCUGAAUUAGGGAUUCAGCCUCCACCUGAGCUAUAAAGGGGACAUUCAAACUGUAGUACAGGACAUGGAUGAUUCAAGUCUAGCUCCAUCAUAAGCAUUUAUUUAUUCUAAGCAAGGCUUAUGCCAGAGGAAAACACAACCAAUUUCAGCCUCCAACCUCCCUGACUUCCCAAGGACCAUCUUGAUGGGAUGGAUGGAGGGUGCAUCCCUCUUGGGAUGUGUUUACCUUUGGAUGUCCUUCCAUCUCCUCCUCAUGACAUUGACUUCAGCCCCUGAGUACCCUGAGUCCUCACUGUUCCAGAAUCAGUCAAACAGCAGGGGCUAAAUGACAGUCACCACAUGUCAGGUGGCAUGUGAUGACUAAAAGCCCUAAGGGGCCGGGAGAAGGAUGGGGUCUUUCUAACUAGUAGGCGAAUGGGGAAGCCUGAGAGAACAAUGAGGAAAAACAUUCCCUGGAGCCACUUCAACACCCGUGGAGGACAUACCCGGGGUCUCCUCUCAACUGUCUUCAAAAGACAGCUGGAAAGUUCUACUAUCCCCAGAAAAGUCACCACUAGUGUGACUGCUCUGCCGAGGUCAGACUGUCGGAACAUAUUUUGAAAAAUGGUUUUAUUUAUGAACAUGCCUGAGGCCCCGCCACUUUGCCAAAAAUAGCAUAUUUCAUUGAGCCCAUGUAAAACCCAGAAACUCAGGAUGCAUGAGAAAUGCAGCACAAUUUCCCAAGCACCAAAAACUGAUUGCUGACUCUUGGUCAUGGGCGUUCUUGAGCUGAUCCAUAGAAGGUUGAUUCUGAGAAUUGAGUCCCUCUGCAAAAACUGACUCUCCAUACCUGGUCAGUGGAUUUUAUGCCCAGAUUUAUUAUGAGCUGACAUCCCAUUUGGAAACUUGAAAGAGGCUAGUUUCAUACUAGACCCAAACCCAUUCUCUGGGGUGAUGUCUCUGCUCCCCUUGCCCCGCCCCCUUGGCUCACUUUCUAACCUUAUUUAGGAUCUUGCUGUCCUCCUCCAUCCCUGCCAAGACUCACGAAGGAUGCAGAUUGGAGAUUAACACACAGAAAGGAGCAUAAUACAUGUUUGAUAAAGAGGUGCUUGACCAGGGUUGGGACAAAGGAAUCACCAAUAGCAGCAGCCACCAUUUGACUGGUCUGGCGCCUUUCCAUGAGUGCCAUCUUAGGUCCCAUCUCGAGCACAGUCAAAUCCCAAGUCAAAUCUGACUUGAUAAUUUAGUCUUUAAACUGGUAUUUGAUGUCACCAGAGGCUUCUCAUGCAGGCUGCUCCCUCCAGUUGACCUUCCUUAGCUACUGUGUUAGUAAAUAAAUCCUGUUCCAAUGCCUUGGCAUGAUCUGGGUCACGCUAGCUAUGCUGGCACCAAACCCCACAAUGAUUAUGUGUGACAGCGAGGGACAUCACCCUCAAGGCCACCCGCCAAGAUCUCACUGGAACUCCUAGAAGACACUUGUCCCCUCUCCUGAACAAUUUCUAUGUCCUGUAUGGACAGACUGGCCAGUCUGUCNAUUGGCAGCCUGUG
rnacentral:lncRNA from 1 species